AUUGAACGCUGGCGGCAGGCUUAACACAUGCAAGUCGAGCGGAGAGAGGUAGCUUGCUACUGAUCUUAGCGGCGGACGGGUGAGUAAUGCUUAGGAAUCUGCCUAUUAGUGGGGGACAACAUUUCGAAAGGAAUGCUAAUACCGCAUACGUCCUACGGGAGAAAGCAGGGGAUCUUCGGACCUUGCGCUAAUAGAUGAGCCUAAGUCGGAUUAGCUAGUUGGUGGGGUAAAGGCCUACCAAGGCGACGAUCUGUAGCGGGUCUGAGAGGAUGGUCCGCCACACUGGGACUGAGACACGGCCCAGACUCCGACGGGAGGCAGCAGUGGGGAAUAUUGGACAAUGGGCGGAAGCCUGAUCCAGCCAUGCCGCGUGUGUGAAGAAGGCCUUAUGGUUGUAAAGCACUUUAAGCGAGGAGGAGGCUACUUUAGUUAAUACCUAGAGAUAGUGGACGUUACUCGCAGAAUAAGCACCGGCUAACUCUGUGCCAGCCGCCGCGGUAACAC
rnacentral:rRNA from 1 species